rnacentral:rRNA from 1 species
CCUACGGGCGGCAGCAGUGGGAAUUUUGCGCAAUGCUCGUAAGAGUGACGCAGCGACGCCGCGUGAAUGACGAAGGCCUUCGGGUCGUAAAGUUCUUUCGACAGGGAAGAAAAUGCCCAUAAGUAACUGUGUAUGUAUUGACGGUAACUGGAUAAGCCGCCCCGGCCAACUGCGGGCCAGCAGCCGCGGUAAUACGGAGGGGGCGAGCGUUGUUCGGAGUGGCCGGGCGUAAAGAGCACGUAGGCGGUGUUGUACGUCAUUAGUCCAAGACUAGAGCUCAACUUUAGUAAGGCUAGUGAUACUAUAAUACUAGCGUAUCAGAGAGGAUUGCAGAAUUCCUGGUGUAGCGGUGAAAUGCGUAGAUAUCAGGAGGAAUACCGUUAGCGAAGGCGGCAAUCUGGCUGGAAACUGACGCUGAGGUGCGAAAGCGUGGAUAGCAAACAGGAUUAGAUACCCUUGUAGUC